CUUUAUUCUGCUCUUUUUAUUUUUUUUCCUCCUGACCAGAUCUUCCACCACCACUAAAAAUUCUCACACGACUGCUCAAGUCCUGGAUCUCAGACGUCAGGAAAAGACCAAGCAUCCAGAAGCUGCCAAAGAGGAGUUUCCCUCACUUCUCCACUGCUGUAGGAUUGUUCUUUGGGGCACAGAAAACUGCAGAGGCCAGAGACAAGGAUGCUGAAAUCUUUGCUAAUGAGCCUUGUAAUGAGUUUUAUACAGGUACAGAGAGAGCCAUGAUUAGCAGUGAGUGGUUUUGUAUCUCCCAGCAGUGAUGAAUACCUCUGCUCAUGGAUUUGUCACAGACAAACAUGUCCCCAGCCAGGUGCUGUUGUCUGUGGUGGCACAGUGGGUCCAGCCUGUGGUGACUGUGCUGUCACAAGCCUGUCUUAGCCUCAGGUGGUUUUAGGAGAGAUUUGAGCAGGGCUAAAGCUCUUUGGGCAGUGCUUAUAGCUGGGUGCUGCUAAUUCACACACACUGCUGGCUUCCUGGCAGCCUUUUGCAGUGUGGCCAAUGUGGCACAGCUGCCCAAUUAAACUUUACAUCAAGCCAUCCUCUGGGAACUCCACAUUUUGUGGAGACAGUUGCCCUUUCAGUCUGCACAGCCCCAUUUACACUUUUAUUUGCAGGGUCUGAGAUGUGCUGUUUGAUCUUCUUCAUCACUUGCCCUCCUCACCUUCCCUUCAGCUCCUGGAAGAGCUGCAGUUUUUGAGUGCUGGGAUAAGGAUCACAGACAAAUGUUACUGAAUUAUAUUUGCAAAGAAUUUGAGAUCAACAACAACAACAACAAAAAUUGCAGAAGAAUUCUCCUGGAAAUCCAUGAAAACAUCAUCAGAAAGGCAUGGGGAGUAAAGACAAACUGAGGCACACCUUUAUGGUCCAGAAGCUGUUGCUAAACUAGAGACAAAAGCCUCUUUGCCAAUAUUUUCUAUCCCAAAUAUCCUGAGCAGCACCUGUGUGCUCUGCUCUGCCUGGUGCUGACCAUUCCUUUGAGGCUUGGUUCCACGUCCUCAGCCUCUCCUGUUCAGCUGAACAGCUGCCCUGGUCCCUCCUGGGACUCUUCUGUAUUUCUCAGCCUGGUUCCUCAAAGCUGGGAAUUAGAAGAUUUAGGAAAGUGCUCUGGGGCCAGAGGACUGUGAGGAAAGAGUCAGGCCCCAUCAUCUCCAGCUGAAGCUCCUGCUGCUGACCCCAGGUGUUUCCUGAGCACGGAGGGCAGCACACAUCCUCAGCCUGGCAGCAAAGAUUUCUGCUGCAGCUCUCGAAGCCUCUCACAGGAGGCAAGAGGUGAGGUGUGGAAAGCUGUCUGGCAGUGCAUAAAGAGCAGCAAAUGUCACC
rnacentral:lncRNA from 1 species